rnacentral:rRNA from 1 species
UACGUAGGGGGCUAGCGUUGUCCGGAAUCAUUGGGCGUAAAGAGCGUGUAGGCGGCCCGGUAAGUCCGCUGUGAAAGUCGGGGGCUCAACCCUCGAAUGCCGGUGGAUACUGUCGGGCUAGAGUGCGGAAGAGGCGAGUGGAAUUCCUGGUGUAGCGGUGAAAUGCGCAGAUAUCAGGAGGAACACCAAUUGCGAAGGCAGCUCGCUGGGACGUAACUGACGCUGAGACGCGAAAGCGUGGGGAGCAAAC